rnacentral:lncRNA from 1 species
UUGAACUCCUGUGAGCCGUCUGGCCGAGACACUACCUGGAGCCAUCCAGAGACUGAUCCACCAGAAGCGUCCAUGUGUCCGGACCCUGAGCACCCGAUGUCUUUUCUGCUUUCAGAGCACCCAUAUUCACCAGAGGCCCACAUAUUUUCAAAAACACCCCGUAGUGACACCUGCCAGAGAUAAAGCAAGAACUUACGAAGACAACCGACUGCC